rnacentral:lncRNA from 1 species
CAGACUUAUCAGUAGCAUCACAUUGGUAACUGAAGUGAUUUAAUAGCAAGCAUAUGCUAUUUUUAGUAUGACUGCCAACAUGCAUAAUAAUGAACAAAACUGUUGAGGAAAAUGAUAUAACUGCAUUCUUGCUCACCAUUAUUUUUGUUGUUGAGCUGUGCUUUGAAACUGUCCAUUUCAGUGUCUCAAAGACGUAGUCCCAUUCGAUGUGGCGAACCAACAAAAUAUCCUGACAAGCAUCUGCUCAAAAAAUAUCUCCAGAAAGUAGAGUUCAAUGAUGGAGAAAAAGUGUUGUAUACAUGUGCCCUGGGUUACGAACCAUCAGCAGGAAGUCGAACAUCACAGUGUGUGCAUGGACAAUGGACAACCUUGAACAUGAAAUGCCAAAAGAAGAAGUGCAAUGCGCUGGGUGACAUAGAGAACGGGCGAUACAAUCAAGAAGGGCGAUCAUUUGGCGAUAAAGCCAUUGCUGUGUGUAAUGAAGGGUAUUUGAAUCUUUUUUUUCUUUUUUUUAAGUCUGCAGUCCAUAAAUUGGUGAACAUAUU